rnacentral:rRNA from 1 species
CGGCGUCGAGCGGCGGACGGGUGAGUAAUGCCUAGGAAAUUGCCCUGAUGUGGGGGAUAACCAUUGGAAACGAUGGCUAAUACCGCAUAAUGCCUACGGGUCAAAGAGGGGGACCUUCGGGCCUCUCGCGUCAGGAUAUGCCUAGGUGGGAUUAGCUAGUUGGUGAGGUAAUGGCUCACCAAGGCGACGAUCCCUAGCUGGUCUGAGAGGAUGAUCAGCCACACUGGAACUGAGACACGGUCCAGACUCCUACGGGAGGCAGCAGUGGGGAAUAUUGCACAAUGGGCGCAAGCCUGAUGCAGCCAUGCCGCGUGUGUGAAGAAGGCCUUCGGGUUGUAAAGCACUUUCAGUCGUGAGGAAGGUAGUGUAGUUAAUAGCUGCAUUAUUUGACGUUAGCGACAGAAGAAGCACCGGCUAACUCCGUGCCAGCAGCCGCGGUAAUACGGAGGGUGCGAGCGUUAAUCGGAAUUACUGGGCGUAAAGCGCAUGCAGGUGGUUUGUUAAGUCAGAUGUGAAAGCCCGGGGCUCAACCUCGGAAUAGCAUUUGAAACUGGCAGACUAGAGUACUGUAGAGGGGGGUAGAAUUUCAGGUGUAGCGGUGAAAUGCGUAGAGAUCUGAAGGAAUACCGGUGGCGAAGGCGGCCCCCUGGACAGAUACUGACACUCAGAUGCGAAAGCGUGGGGAGCAAACAGGAUUAGAUACCCUGGUAGUCCACGCCGUAAACGAUGUCUACUUGGGAGGUUGUGGCCUUGAGCCGUGGCUUUCGGAGCUAACGCGUUAAGUAGACCGCCUGGGGGAGUACGGUCGCAAGAUUAAAACUCAAAUGAAUUGACGGGGGCCCGCACAAGCGGUGGAGCAUGUGGUUUAAUUCGAUGCAACGCGAGAAACCUUACCUACUCUUGACAUCCAGAGAACUUUCCAGAGAUGGAUUGGUGCCUUCGGGAACUCUGAGACAGGUGCUGCAUGGCUGUCGUCAGCUCGUGUUGUGAAAUGUUGGGUUAAGUCCC